rnacentral:rRNA from 1 species
UCGGGAAUAUUGCGCAAUGGAGGAAACUCUGACGCAGUGACGCCGCGUGCAGGAAGAAGGUUUUCGGAUUGUAAACUGCUUUAGAUAGGGAAGAAAAAAAUGACAGUACCUAUAGAAUAAGCUCCGGCUAACUACGUGCCAGCAGCCGCGGUAAUACGUAGGGAGCGAGCGUUAUCCGGAUUUAUUGGGUGUAAAGGGUGCGUAGAUGGAUAAACAAGUUGGUUGUGAAAUCCCUCGGCUUAACUGAGGAAUUGCAACCAAAACUGUAUAUCUUGAGUACUGGAGGGGAAAGCGGAAUUCCUA